AUUGAACGCUGGCGGCAGGCCUAACACAUGCAAGUCGAACGAGUGGCGGACGGGUGAGUAAUGUCUGGGAAACUGCCCGAUGGAGGGGGAUGACUACUGGAAACGGUAGCUAAUACCGCAUCCCAUCGGAUGUGCCCCGAUGGGAUUAGCUAGUAGGUGGGGUAACGGCUCACCUAGGCGACGAUCCCUAGCUGGUCUGAGAGGAUGACAAGCCACCCUGGAACUGAGACACGGUCCAGACUCCAACGGGAGGCAGCAGUGGGGAAUAUUGCACAAUGGGCUAAAGCCUGAUGCAGCCAUGCCGCGUGUAUGAAGAAGGCCUUCGGGUUGUAAAGUACUUUCAGCGAGGAGGCGUGACUCGCAGAAGAAGCACCGGCUAACUCCGUGCCAGCAGCCGCGGUAAUUG
rnacentral:rRNA from 1 species